rnacentral:lncRNA from 7 species
CUAUUUUGCCUCGACCAUGCGGUCUCCACUCUUUCCCUCUUCUUCUCGAUCUCUAGUGAGAGCACCAUGUGACCUCUCGCUGGCAUACGCACUCCCCUCUAGGUGAAUGUGCUUCCAUCAAGGGGCCCCGUGGCGGUGUUGUGGAAUCUUGUGGCAGUGUCCUGGUCGUCAGAGAUGGCCCUCUUCUCUAUCCUUAUCGUCGAUGAUGAACAAGUCUUAGAAUGGAGUGGGCACUUGGAUGUUGGUCUGACGACGACUUUACUUGAAACAAAUACUUUCGUUCCAUGACCAAUCGUUCUGGCCUGUCGUGGUUAUAUAUAAUUGAGUUUGCCGGUGUACCUACCAAAUCCAUUGUUUACUACUCGGCAACGAGUACCUUAUGGCAAGAUAAGCAUCAGUACGUAUAUUAUGGUUGAGUUGUACCUAAUUUGCAUUCCUCAUUAACAAGUCAAAAACUGUUGAGGUUGACUUUGUACUGGUGAACAAACAAGGGUGAGUCAGACGCAACAACAUAUGGCCCGGACAAAACCACCUCUAUAUGAGUGGUAGCAGGAUAAAUUUUUG